GAUGAACGCUGGCGGCGUGCCUAAUACAUGCAAGUCGAGCGAACGGACGAGAAGCUUGCUUCUCUGAUGUUAGCGGCGGACGGGUGAGUAACACGUGGAUAACCUACCUAUAAGACUGGGAUAACUUCGGGAAACCGGAGCUAAUACCGGAUAAUAUUUUGAACCGCAUGGUUCAAAAGUGAAAGACGGUCUUGCUGUCACUUAUAGAUGGAUCCGCGCUGCAUUAGCUAGUUGGUAAGGUAACGGCUUACCAAGGCAACGAUGCAUAGCCGACCUGAGAGGGUGAUCGCCCACACUGGAACUGAGACACGGCCCAGACUCCUACGGGAGGCAGCAGUCGGGAAUCUUCCGCAAUGGAGGAAAGCCUGACGGAGCAACGCCGCGUGAGUGAUGAAGGUCUUCGGAUCGUAAAACUCUGUUAUUAGGGAAGAACAUAUGUGUAAGUAACUGUGCACAUCUUGACGGUACCUAAUCAGAAAGCCACGGCUAACUACGUG
rnacentral:rRNA from 1 species